AGUUUUGAAUAGUGGUUAACCUUCGGGUUUUCAAGUAAAAAGGAUCCGGUCAAAAGAUAAAUAAAAUUCGACUAAGAAUCUUGUCAAUGAGGGCAGGGACGGAUCUUGAGUAAAUUUUUUUGGGGUGUCAAACUUCUAUGGAAUAUAUAUCAAACAGUUUUAAGAACUAACAAUAAAUAAUAAGGCAUAAAUUCUUUGAAAGCAUCAAGAGAUUGUGGGUUCGAAUCCCAUCAAAAUUG
rnacentral:tRNA from 1 species